rnacentral:rRNA from 1 species
GAUGAACGCUAGCGGCAGGCCUAACACAUGCAAGUCGAGGGGGAGGUUACUUUCGGGUAACUGAGACCGGCGUACGGGUGCGUAACGCGUAUACAAUCUGCCUUUCACUGGGGGAUAGCCCGAAGAAAUUUGGAUUAAUACCCCAUAGUAUAGUAAUACGGCAUCGUGAUGCUAUUAAAGCUUAGGUGGUGAAAGAUGAGUAUGCGUUCUAUUAGCUAGUUGGAGAGGUAACGGCUCCCCAAGGCGAUGAUAGAUAGGGGUUCUGAGAGGGAUGUCCCCCACACUGGUACUGAGAUACGGACCAGACGCCUACGGGAGGCAGCAGUGAGGAAUAUUGGACAAUGGUCGGAAGACUGAUCCAGCCAUGCCGCGUGCAGGAUGAAGGUCUUAUGGAUUGUAAACUGCUUUUGUAAGGGAAGAAUAAGGGCUACGCGUAGUUUGAUGACGGUACCUUACGAAUAAGCAUCGGCUAACUCCGUG